rnacentral:rRNA from 1 species
GACGAACGCUGGCGGCGUGCCUAACACAUGCAAGUCGAACGGGAUCCAUGGAGUGCUUGCACUCCGGAAGAUCUAGUGGCGAACGGGUGAGUAACACGUGAGAAACCUGCCCCAGACUCUGGGAUAACCUCGGGAAACCGAAGCUAAUACCGGAUAUUCUCCUUUGGUCGCAUGGCCAGUUGAGGAAAGUUUUUCGGUCUGGGAGGGUCUCGCGGCCUAUCAGCUAGUUGGUGGGGUAACGGCCCACCAAGGCUACGACGGGUAGCUGGUUUGAGAGAACGAUCAGCCACACUGGAACUGAGACACGGUCCAGACUCCUACGGGAGGCAGCAGUGGGGAAUCUUGCGCAAUGGGCGAAAGCCUGACGCAGCAACGCCGCGUGCGGGAUGAAGGCCUUCGGGUUGUAAACCGCUUUCAGCAGGGACGAAAAUGACGGUACCUGCAGAAGAAGCCCCGGCUAACUACGUG